UUUUAAAGUAUUUGAGAUUAUUAGUAAUGAUAUAGAAGAUGGACAAAAUAUAUGAACAUACUUUUGCGAUUGGAGUUUCGUCGAAGCUGUGUGAGUUCUCUAAUUAUGUUUAAGGUUAUUGUGAUUCUCUGGACCUUUCGAGAUGUGUAUAUGGAUAUUUAUUGAUGUAUACAAGUGUGUAUAUGUAUGCAUAAGAGGUUACAUGAGGUUGGAAGAGGAUUAGAAGUUAAACGAAAUGAAUCGGAACAACUUCAAUAAAAUCUCGGACCAGAUUUUAGUCUAUAUUGUAGGAGGCAUAUCUCCUAGUAUAUGAGGAGUUUUAAGGUGUUUUCAAAAGCCUAAAACGAAGUUCAUCGAGUCUAGUUUUCAAUGAAACAAACCGCUUGUCGAAACGAUAUCGGGGUAAUGAGAUAUGGACGAUGCAAGUUGGAUGAGCGGGGAUUAAGACUUAAAUGUUCACAAUUUUUCAAUUGUGGCCGUGUGGGCCCCACAAACACAUGGAAAAAAUCAGAUUUUUGCCCAUGCUCAGUUGGGGGAACGUGCAAGACCCCUUGGGCAGAAAAAUAUCCAACUUUGUUGACCAAAAGUUGCAUGCCAACUCAUUUUUCCCAAUGCCACAAAUUGAACAAGAGAGAGAAGCUCUCAUCUUCUCCAACUAGAGAAAGAGAGCCACGGCUAUGGAAGCUCCACCACCAAAAAAAAAAAAAAUAGUUUUCUUCCUCAAAUCAACUCCUCAUCUAGUGUACAAGAACGUGUAGUAGUUGUUGGAAAGAAACAAGGAGGUGUAGCACCUCAAUAGGGUUGAAGAUUCGGCCAAAGUGAAGAACAAGUUGUAAGGAUAAGUGUAUUUGGGCAGCAAGUACAAGUUAGAAUACAACUAAACGCUAAAGGUACAGACGUUCAUUUCGGAGAUCCGCCAGCUUAGGACACUUAUUCAGCUAUUUUGACUGCUCCUUUGUUCCGGAGCCUAGCUUGUGGUAUAACUCCCUUAUGUUGAAUUCAUAUGAGUUUAUUUGGGUACGGCGGGGCCCUGUCCCGCCAUAUGAUACGGUCAUUACUCUUAGAGGUCUGUGGACAUUUAUGUGGGUCUGUUUAUGGUUGUUGACGCGUUUUAUGAUUAUGACAUAUGUUUGGGGCGUACCCAUUCGUAAUGGCAGCCUUGUCGGCUUGCAUAUAUAUGUAUGUUUGGUAUGUUGCAUAUCGUGGCAGCCUUGUCGGCUUGCGUAGGAAUAUAUAUAUGUUGUUGUUUAAAAAUUUUAAUUCUUCAGGAGACAGGUGCCUACGACAUACAAAAUUUUGACAGCUUUAAAAAUAACACCCUACCUGUUUAUACAAAUAAGUUCGUGACAUGCUAGUGUUAAAUGAUUACAGUUAACAGGCAAUAUGAGUGUCCAAUUCGGGCACUAGUCACGGCCUACGGGGUUGGGUCG